UACGUAGGGUCCGAGCGUUGUCCGGAGUUACUGGGCGUAAAGCGCGCGCAGGUGGUUCCCUAAGCCCGGCGUGAAAGCCCCCGGCUCAACCGGGGAGGGUCGUCGGGGACUGGUGAACUUGAGGGCGGCAGGGGCUGGUGGAAUCCCCGGUGUAGUGGUGAAAUGCGUAGAGAUCGGGGGGAACACCCGUGGCGAAGGCGGCCAGCUGGGCCGACCCUGACACUGAGGCGCGAAGGCGUGGGGAGCGAACGGG
rnacentral:rRNA from 1 species